UGCAACCUGUAAAUUUUUCUCGUUUGAUGCUUUGCUACGCAUUCGUAACCUUGAAUGGGAGUGAAUAUGGUCGGACGUACCUGAAUUACAUCAUGCCCGGGCACCAGCGCGUUGACGGCAUGUGGACACAGGAACACAGACGUCAUGUACUACAGCCAAUCGGAAAACACGUUGCCAUAUGGCUGCUCAGUUGACGCAACAGCCAGGUUGUUGCGACCGUGCUGACUAAUGCACGUUGUCUGUUUAGAUUUCUUCGUUGAGCCUACGUUUCCCCGGGAAAUUAUCAGACUAGCUGACUGUACACAAGAGCAAUGGUGAGAAGUGUGAAGCAGAAGACAAAAUGGUCGAAGUUUCGCUUGUGUUACUGUCAGCUGUUUCUAUAAACUGUGUCGUGUUACCUCUGAAGGCUGACGCUGCUAUGUAUAUCCAAUGACAUUCGGAACACACUAGGGUUUGUUGGCAAUGCUAAAAACCUGCGUUGUCCCGUAGCAAUAAGCAGAGCUUGACGUUGUGUUUCGUUAAAAGGAAUUUCUGCUUUC